rnacentral:SRP_RNA from 1 species
GCCAGGUGCGGUGGCUCACGCCUGUAAUCCCAGCUACUCAGGAGGCUGAGGCAGGAGAAUCGCUUGAACCCGGGUGGCAGAGGUUGCAGUGAGCCAAGAUCGUGCCAUUGCACUUCAGCCUGGGCAACAAGAGUGAAACUCUGUCUCAAUAAUAAUAGUAAUAAUAAUUUAAUUUAAUUUUUUUUUUUGAGACAGAGUCUCACUCUGUUGCCCGGGGCUGGAGUGCAGUGGUGCGAUCUCGUCUCACUGCAACCUCCAACUCCCGGGUUCAAGCGAUUCUCCUGCCUCAG